AUUGAACGCUGGCGGCAUGCCUUACACAUGCAAGUCGAACGGUAACGGGCCUUCGGGUGCCGACGAGUGGCGCACGGGUGAGUAAUACAUCGGAACGUGCCCGAUCGUGGGGGAUAACGAGGCGAAAGCUUUGCUAAUACCGCAUACGAUCUACGGAUGAAAGCAGGGGACCGCAAGGCCUUGCGCGGGCGGGGCGGCCGAUGGCAGAUUAGGUAGUUGGGGGGAUAAAAGCUUACCAAGCCGACGAUCUGUAGCUGGUCUGAGAGGAUGAUCAGCCACACUGGGACUGAGACACGGCCCAGGCUCCUACGGGAGGCAGCAGUGGGGAAUUUUGGACAAUGGGCGCAAGCCUGAUCCAGCCAUGCCGCGUGCAGGAUGAAGGCCUUCGGGUUGUAAACUGCUUUUGUACGGAACGAAAAGCCUUCUUUUAAUACAGGAGGGUCAUGACGGUACCGUAAGAAUAAGCACCGGCUAACUACGUG
rnacentral:rRNA from 1 species